AUACGGAGGGUGCGAGCGUUAAUCGGAAUAACUGGGCGUAAAGGGCACGCAGGCGGUGACUUAAGUGAGGUGUGAAAGCCCCGGGCUUAACCUGGGAAUUGCAUUUCAUACUGGGUCGCUAGAGUACUUUAGGGAGGGGUAGAAUUCCACGUGUAGCGGUGAAAUGCGUAGAGAUGUGGAGGAAUACCGAAGGCGAAGGCAGCCCCUUGGGAAUGUACUGACGCUCAUGUGCGAAAGCGUGGGGAGCAAACAGGAUUAGAUACCCUGGUAGUCCACGCUGUAAACGAUGUCGAUUUGGGGGUUGAACUUUAGGUUUGGCGCCCGUAGCUAACGUGAUAAAUCGACCGCCUGGGGAGUACGGCCGCAAGGUUAAAACUCAAAUGAAUUGACGGGGGCCCGCMCAAGCGGUGGAGCAUGUGGUUUAAUUCGAUGCAACGCGAAGAACCUUACCUACUCUUGACAUCCAGA
rnacentral:rRNA from 1 species